rnacentral:rRNA from 1 species
UACGUAGGGUGCGAGCGUUGCCCGGAAUUAUUGGGCGUAAAGGGCUCGUAGGCGGUUUGUCGCGUCGGGAGUGAAAACCCAGGGCUUAACCCUGGGCUGGCUUCCGAUACGGGCAGACUAGAGGUAUGCAGGGGAGAACGGAAUUCCUGGUGUAGCGGUGAAAUGCGCAGAUAUCAGGAGGAACACCGGUGGCGAAGGCGGUUCUCUGGGCAUUACCUGACGCUGAGGAGCGAAAGUGUGGGGAGCGAACAGG